UGGGGAAUUUUGGACAAUGGGCGAAAGCCUGAUCCAGCAAUGCCGCGUGUGUGAAGAAGGCCUUCGGGUUGUAAAGCACUUUUGUCCGGAAAGAAAUCCUUGGCUCUAAUACAGUCGGGGGAUGACGGUACCGGAAGAAUAAGCACCGGCUAACUACGUGCCAGCAGCCGCGGUAAUACGUAGGGUGCAAGCGUUAAUCGGAAUUACUGGGCGUAAAGCGUGCGCAGGCGGCUUGCUAAGACCGAUGUGAAAUCCCCGGGCUCAACCUGGGAACUGCAUUGGUGACUGGCAGGCUAGAGUAUGGCAGAGGGGGGUAGAAUUCCACGUGUAGCAGUGAAAUGCGUAGAGAUGUGGAGGAAUACCGAUGGCGAAGGCAGCCCCCCUGGGGCCAAAUACUGACGCUCAUGCACGAAAGCGUGGGGAGCAAACAGGAUUAGAUACCCUGGUAGUCCACGCCCUAAACGAUGUCAACUAGUUGUUGGGGAUUCAUUUCCUUAGUAACGUAGCUAACGCGUGAAGUUGACCGCCUGGGGAGUACGGUCGCAAGAUU
rnacentral:rRNA from 1 species